GGGGUCGACAUGGUUUCGACGGGGGUGUACGAAGCGACUGAUUGCAGGCCGGGGACGCCGUGGCACCUCGUUAAAAAGUGACGGCACAACCAAACGCCAACGACAACGCUUUCGAGCAGCCGAUGGCUCAGGCCGCCUAGCGCGGCCCGUCUUACCAGCUCUCCCGUCCGUGACGGCUGGCUAGGGCGACACAGAACGGGCUAGGCAUCCGCCAUCCUCCCCCGGGUGGACAGCCGAAGAUGCAGGGGGAACCCGAACCGAGGCAGCUCGCUGGUGGGCGUCCUCGGGGGUUCAAAGCGCCAGCUAAGCCUGUAGAAGUCAGCGCGGAGCACUUCCGGACCCGGGUUCGAUUCCCGGCGACUCCACUA
rnacentral:tmRNA from 2 species